CUACGGGAGGCAGCAGUGGGGAAUUUUGGACAAUGGGGGCAACCCUGAUCCAGCCAUGCCGCGUGAGUGAUGAAGGCCCUAGGGUUGUAAAGCUCUUUCAACGGUGAAGAUAAUGACGGUAACCGUAGAAGAAGCCCCGGCUAACUUCGUGCCAGCAGCCGCGGUAAUACGAAGGGGGCUAGCGUUGUUCGGAAUUACUGGGCGUAAAGCGCACGUAGGCGGAUUGUUUAGUGAGGGGUGAAAUCCCGGGGCUCAACCCCGGAACUGCCUCUCAUACUGGCAAUCUCGAGUCCGGAAGAGGUGAGUGGAAUUCCGAGUGUAGAGGUGAAAUUCGUAGAUAUUCGGAGGAACACCAGUGGCGAAGGCGGCUCACUGGCCAGAUACUGACGCUGAGGUGCGAAAGCGUGGGGAGCAAACAGGAUUAGAAACCCGAGUAGUCC
rnacentral:rRNA from 1 species